ACUGUGGGGCAUUGCAUGGUGCAGUAUAAAUAGUACCACGCACUGAUUAGAGGAAAUUCUUGAAGUAAAAUCUGCAAGUGAAUUAAAUCCGCUGCGUUGGGCAAAUUUGUACUAACUUACCUUAGUGAUAUAACUGAAACGUUGAAGUACAGCGAUGAAGAUUUCCUUGAUAUUCGUGCUGCUGUUAGUUUGUUCCGUUGUGGUUUUUGAGCCAGCCGAAGGCAGAUGGAAGGGCUGGAAGAAAAUUGAAAAGGCUAUAAAGAAGAUUAGAGAUACGGCUCAGAAAACUUUGCCAAUUGCUGGAGGUAUAAUAGAUAUAAAAAACAAGGUUGGUUAACAAUUAUCUUCUAUGCUGUUUGACUAGUAUAUGUAUAUCACGCAAAAAUUUGAAAAAAUAUUUAAAUGUAUUUCUCUCUUAUUCACAUUUAACAUGUACUGAUGUGCUAAUAUUAAAUAGUUCACUUUAUAUUGUAUAGACAGCUUCGAUUAAUUAAUGUCAUAUUUUUUAUUUGAUUAAGGCCUAAAGUUUGAUGGUAAAUUUAUUACAACUUAUAACUAUAAAUGAAGAAGUAAAAUUUUC